rnacentral:rRNA from 1 species
CCUACGGGUGGCAGCAGUGGGGAAUAUUGCACAAUGGGGGAAACCCUGAUGCAGCGACGCCGCGUGAGUGAAGAAUUAUUUCGGUAUGUAAAGCUCUAUCAGCAGGGAAGAAGCAAGACGGUACCUGACUAAGAAGCCCCGGCUAACUACGUGCCAGCAGCCGCCGUAAUACGUAGGGGGCAAGCGGUAUCCGGAUUUCCUGGGUGUAAAGGGAGCGUAGACGGUAUGGCAAGUCUGAAGUGAAAGCCAAGGGCUUAACCCUGGGACUGCUUUGGAAACUGUUAGACUAGAGUGCUGGAGAGGUAAGUGGAAGUCCUAGUGUAGCGGUGAAAUGCGUAGAUAUUAGGAGGAACACCAGUGGCGAAGGCGGCUUACUGGACAGUAACUGACGUUGAGGCUCGAAAGCGUGGGGAGCAAACAGGAUUAGAUACCCUAGUAGUC